rnacentral:rRNA from 1 species
GAUGGUAGGAUAGAGGCCUACCAUGGUGGUAACGGGUAACGGGGUGUUAGGGCACGACACCGGAGAGGGAGCCUGAGAAACGGCUACCACAUCCAAGGAUGGCAGCAGGCGCGCAAAUUACCCAAUCCCGACACGGGGAGGUAGUGACAAUAAAUAACAAUACGGGGUUCUUUAGGAUUUCAUAAUUGGAAUGAGUACAAUUUAAAUCUCUUAACGAGGAACAAUUGGAGGGCAAGUCUGGUGCCAGCAGCCGCGGUAAUUCCAGCUCCAAUAGCGUAUAUUAAAGUUGUUGCAGUUAAAAAGCUCGUAGUUGAAUUUCGGGGUCAGUAGGUUGGUCAUGCCACUGGUAUGUACUGGUCUCACUGAUUCCUCCUUCCUGAUGAGCCGUAAUGCCAUUAAUUUGGUGUUGCGAGGAGUCUGGACUGUUACUUUGAAAAAAUUAGAGUGUUUAAAGCAGGCUAACGCUUGAAUACAUUAGCAUGGAAUAAUGAAAUAGGACGUUCGAUCUUAUUUUGUUGGUUUCUAAGAUUGACGUAAUGAUUAAUAGGGAUAGUUGGGGGCAUUAGUAUUCAAUUGUCAGAGGUGAAAUUCUUGGAUUUAUUGAAGACUAACUACUGCGAAAGCAUUUGCCAAGGAUGUUUUCAUUAAUCAAGAACGAAAGUUAGGGGAUCGAAGAUGAUCAGAUACCGUCGUAGUCUUAACCAUAAACUAUGCCGACUAGGGAUCGGAUGAUGUUAAUUUUUUAAUGACUCAUUCGGCGCCUUACGGGAAACCAAAGUGUUUGGGUUC